rnacentral:rRNA from 1 species
UACAGAGGUCUCGAGCGUUAGGCGGAAUCACUGGGCUUAAAGCGUGUGUAGGCGGGUCGUUAAGUACCUUGUGAAAUCCCAUGGCUCAACCAUGGAACUGCUUGGUAUACUGGCGAUCUUGUGCAACCUAGGGGCGAGCGGAACAGAUGGUGGAGCGGUGAAAUGCGUAGAGUAUCAUCUGGAACGCCAAUGGUGAAAACAGCUCGCUGGGGGUUUGCGAGACGCUGAGACACGAAAGCCAGGGGAGCAAAGCGGG